GUUUUAAUAGUUUAAAAUAAAACGCUGGUCUUGUAAAUCAGUAAUAAGAACUGUUCUUUUAAAACU
rnacentral:tRNA from 1 species